rnacentral:rRNA from 1 species
CUGCAAGUCGAACGAGAUCCUUCGGGGUCUAGUGGCGCACGGGUGCGUAACGCGUGGGAAUCUGCCUUUCGGUACGGAAUAACUCAGGGAAACUUGUGCUAAUACCGUAUGACGUCGCGAGACCAAAGAUUUAUCGCCGAAAGAUGAGCCCGCGUAGGAUUAGCUAGUUGGUGGGGUAAAGGCCUACCAAGGCGACGAUCCUUAGCUGGUCUGAGAGGAUGAUCAGCCACACUGGGACUGAGACACGGCCCAGACUCCUACGGGAGGCAGCAGUGGGGAAUAUUGGACAAUGGGCGAAAGCCUGAUCCAGCAAUGCCGCGUGAGUGAUGAAGGCCUUAGGGUUGUAAAGCUCUUUUACCCGGGAUGAUAAUGACAGUACCGGGAGAAUAAGCCCCGGCUAACUCCGUGCCAGCAGCCGCGGUAAUACGGAGGGGGCUAGCGUUGUUCGGAAUUACUGGGCGUAAAGCGUACGUAGGCGGUGACUCAAGUCAGAGGUGAAAGCCCGGGGCUCAACUCCGGAAUUGCCUUUGAAACUAGGUCGCUUGAACGUCGGAGAGGUGAGUGGAAUUCCGAGUGUAGAGGUGAAAUUCGUAGAUAUUCGGAAGAACACCAGUGGCGAAGGCGGCUCACUGGACGACUGUUGACGCUG